rnacentral:rRNA from 1 species
AUGGCGCAGUUUGCGGGACACACGACAAGCAUCAUGCCUGCUGCUGUUUGGAAGGGUUGGGCCCCUCCGAAAUGCAAUUAUUUUGCUUGGCUGAUAAUUCAAAACAGAGUUUGGACAGCCGAUCGAUUGCACCGUCGUGGAUGGCCGAACUGUAACCUCUGCCCGCUUUGCAAGCAAGUCCAGAAAACCGCAGCACACCUUCUCUUCCAAUGCAGGUUCUCCCAGCGUGUCUGGAUCGAGGUUGCAGCAUGGCUCGGUAUACGUGGUGAUGUGGUGAGGAACCGGCGAAAUGAGGUUUCGGUUCAAGAAUGA